rnacentral:rRNA from 1 species
GAUGAACGCUGGCGGCGUGCCUAAUACAUGCAAGUCGAGCGAACAGACGAGGAGCUUGCUCCUCUGACGUUAGCGGCGGACGGGUGAGUAACACGUGGAUAACCUACCUAUAAGACUGGGAUAACUUCGGGAAACCGGAGCUAAUACCGGAUAAUAUAUUGAACCGCAUGGUUCAAUAGUGAAAGACGGUUUUGCUGUCACUUAUAGAUGGAUCCGCGCCGCAUUAGCUAGUUGGUAAGGUAACGGCUUACCAAGGCAACGAUGCGUAGCCGACCUGAGAGGGUGAUCGGCCACACUGGAACUGAGACACGGUCCAGACUCCUACGGGAGGCAGCAGUAGGGAAUCUUCCGCAAUGGGCGAAAGCUUGACGGAGCAACGCCGCGUGAGUGAUGAAGGUCUUCGGAUCGUAAAACUCUGUUAUUAGGGAAGAACAAAUGCGUAAGUAACUAUGCACGUCUUGACGGUACCCAAUCAGAAAGCCACGGCUAACUACGUG